GCCAAUGGUGGAGACGGCAUGAUGCCUUCGAUCAACAAGUAAUAUGAAAAACCUUACUCACAGUGAUUCUAUGAGAUUUUGUAGAAGAGGAAGACUCUUCCUGUAUGGCAUCAAAAAGAGGAGUUCUCAAGUUGAUGAAUAUCCAAUCAACGGCUGUCGUCACCAGUAUUAUGUCCCUUGUACCGUCCCAUCCUUUGGACCUUGCAGUAGGUG
rnacentral:misc_RNA from 1 species